rnacentral:lncRNA from 1 species
AGCCGGUUUGCUGACACUUGUCUCCUCUUUGGCAGCACUUUGCCAGGGUAAGCAUGCAGAUUCCGCAUCCUCCAGCCCAGCCCAAGGGACAGCAAGUGGGGAGGAGGUGGAGGAAGGAUGUGGAAGCUGUGACAGGAAAUAGAAUGGGAGCAUCGACCAAGCUGGUACUGCAUGCUAAGUUUCAACUGACCAUGAAAAAGAGCAGAGAAGAGGCUGCCGCAGUAGCGCAGAAGAUGAGUAGAGCUGAGAUGUUCAAACAUCUGCUGAACUUUGAGGCAACUGCUGAGAGCAUCCACUUCUGCCUACCAGUCAUAGAUGAGUGCAUCCAUGAGACCCUGCUCUUCUCUGCUGAGGCCAUCCCAGGAAAGAAGGAGGUUGGCUUCUUCUUCAGGAGCCUUGGCAUUCUUUCUCUGGGAGGACAACAGCUCAUCACAAGCUUCAUUGAAGACUGUGCACUGCAGCUAGAUGCGACGGACAACAUGCUGCCUGCUCUUCUUGGGGUGAGCCUGCACACCUCCAGGGCUCCAUGCAGUGCUAUUGAAUGAGGCUUGCCACUCUUGGGAGCAACAGACACGUGUCUGUGGCCUCUCCUCACUUGUGUUUGUCCUGACGCAGGACCUUGAGAUAAUGAAUCUGAUUGCACUAAGAGGCAAAAACAAAUUUACUCAACGCAGUGAGGAUGGCUGUGUCAUACUGCCAAGGUGAGCACAGCCACUCCUGCAGCAGCUGCCGGCCAAGGGAGCAGCUGCUCAGCUCAGGC